rnacentral:ncRNA from 2 species
CGCAAGGAUCAAGGGCGACGGGAGAAAUCCCUCCGCCUCCCGUGUUUGGAAAGGGGCUUCCAUGGCGUUCGA